rnacentral:lncRNA from 1 species
CCACCGUACUGCCUCUCCUAUUUCCUACACUUGCCCUGGACUCAGUCUCAUAGGACACUUGGCUGCCAGUCGGACAUACUGCACUUUCCAGAUUGUACUAAGUUUUCCAGGACGGCCUAGAACUUGCUACGAUACUCAUGAAGAUCUUCAUCCUGAAUGUGCCAUCUGGUCUCGACCUCUCCAGGGCUGGGAUUACAGGUAUGGGUCUCGCUUUGCUCCCAGCUGCCUUUCUUAAGACCUCCACUGCGUCCUCUUGAGGAUUGCUAGUUGGGUUUCUCCAAAUGGAGUCGUCCUUUUAGGUGGG